AGCUCUCAGAAUGCAUAGAACUAUUGCUGCGGUUAAAAAGCUCGUAGUUGGAUUCGUGUUCGGGCGCUGGUCCUCGUCUUCAUUGACUUGGCACUGGUGAUCUGGGCUUAUGGUCGGUCUCUGCUCAUCGGAUUUCGGUCCUUCGGGUAGGUGCUGACGAGUUUACUUUGAACAAAUCAGAGUGCUCAAAACAGGCGUUCCGCCUGAAUGUUCGUGCAUGGAAUAAUAGAAGAGGAUCUCGGUCCGAUUUUAUUGGUUUUACGGUCGAGAUAAUGAUCAAUAGAGACAAACGGGGGCAUUCGUACUUCUGCGCGAGAGGUGAAAUUUUUGGACCGCAGAAAGACGCACUACAGCGAAAGCAUUUGCCAAGCUUGUCUUCG
rnacentral:rRNA from 1 species